CGGCGGACGGGUGAGGAAUGCAUCGGAAUCUGCCCUGUCGUGGGGGAUAACCUAGGGAAACUUAGGCUAAUACCGCAUACGACCUACGGGUGAAAGCGGGGGACCUUCGGGCCUCGCGCGGCAGGAUGAGCCGAUGUCGGAUUAGCUAGUUGGCGGGGUAAUGGCCCACCAAGGCGACGAUCCGUAGCUGGUCUGAGAGGAUGAUCAGCCACACUGGGACUGAGACACGGCCCAGACUCCUACGGGAGGCAGCAGUGGGGAAUAUUGGACAAUGGGCGCAAGCCUGAUCCAGCCAUGCCGCGUGUGUGAAGAAGGCCUUCGGGUUGUAAAGCACUUUUGUCCGGGAAGAAAACCUGCGGGCUAAUACCCCGUGGGAAUGACGGUACCGGAAGAAUAAGCACCGGCUAACUUCGUGCCAGCAGCCGCGGUAAUACGAAGGGUGCAAGCGUUACUCGGAAUUACUGGGCGUAAAGCGUGCGCAGGCGGUUUGUUAAGUCUGAUGUGAAAUCCCCGGGCUCAACCUGGGAAUGGCAUUGGAUACUGGCAGGCUAGAGUACGGUAGAGGGUGGUGGAAUUCCCGGUGUAGCGGUGAAAUGCGUAGAGAUCGGGAGGAACACCCGUGGCGAAGGCGGCCACCUGGACCAGUACUGACGCUCAUGCACGAAAGCGUGGGGAGCAAACAGGAUUAGAUACCCUGGUAGUCCACGCCCUAAACGAUGCGAACUGGAUGUUGGGCACACACAGGUGCUCAGUGUCGAAGCUAACGCGUUAAGUUCGCCGCCUGGGGAGUACGGUCGCAAGACUGAAACUCAAAGGAAUUGACGGGGGCCCGCACAAGCGGUGGAGUAUGUGGUUUAAU
rnacentral:rRNA from 1 species